UUCACUUAUUCUUACUCCUACCCCUUGGUAGUUGCCUAGAAAAGUGUGGCUCGGCCAUCGCGUUGGUGGAUUCCUCAUUGUGGCGAGUUUGCUCAUGCUCAACGUGGUGGAUUCUAUAAAGGGACGAGUAUUUAUGUAACACCCUACACUCUUAACUUCUUGUUUUAACUCCUAUUCUUUUAAAAUUCGGACCUUUUCGUAAAUAUUAGUUUUUGAGGAACUCGGCGGCAUUUUGUGCCAACUAAUCACUAAUUCCUAAUUAUCUCCACCAUCCGUUUAACCUAGCCGCAACCCUCCUUAAUUCCUCCCUCAUUGCACCCGUACGGCUCCACCCUCCCACAUGCGUGCACGACGCCGUUGAUCACCGUCAUCGUCGCCGUAGUCCGCGGCCGCCGCCGCAAUCCUCAUCCGUCGGCAUUUUUUUUGAUUCGUCGUUGACGACAUUUUAUCGUCGUCGUUUCUAUCUUUAAGAAGGUUCCGACGAUUGAUUUUCUGCACAGUUUCGACUGGAUAAUUUUCUAUCUUUGAAGCUGCGUUAAGGUACCGAGACUGAUUUGCCGGGCGGGGCUGAGACUAAGUGAACGUUAGACGUAGCAAGUUUUGAUUUUAGUCCCUUUUGUUUUUACAUCUAGUAUUUUCGAAUUAUCUAUGAUCGUUUGUUAUCUAUUUUGUUUCGUUAUAUCUUCGUACCCACUUUUGUCACUUAUAGUAUUUCCGAACCUCUCUUGUGAUUCGUAGUAAGCUUUAGUUCUAUAGAUGUUAGAAUUUCAUUUGAUUUUAGUUAAAAUUCAAUUUCUUAGUCUCAUCCUAUGAUUCUUUGGAUUUAGUGGAAAAUUUGGUAAUCAUCUUUUUGCUAGCUUCCGUCUGAU